rnacentral:rRNA from 1 species
UGGGGAAUCUUGCGCAAUGGGCGAAAGCCUGACGCAGCAACGCCGCGUGCGGGAUGAAGGCCUUCGGGUUGUAAACCGCUUUCAGCAGGGACGAAAAUGACGGUACCUGCAGAAGAAGCCCCGGCUAACUACGUGCCAGCAGCCGCGGUAAUACGUAGGGGGCAAGCGUUGUCCGGAUUUAUUGGGCGUAAAGAGCUCGUAGGCGGUUCCGUAAGUCGAGUGUGAAAAAUCUGGGCUCAACCCAGUGGAGCACUCGAUACUGCGGUGACUAGAGUACGGUAGAGGAGUGUGGAAUUCCUGGUGUAGCGGUGAAAUGCGCAGAUAUCAGGAGGAACACCAACGGCGAAGGCAGCACUCUGGGCCGGUACUGACGCUGAGGAGCGAAAGCGUGGGGAGCAAACAGG